rnacentral:rRNA from 1 species
AGGAUGAAGGCCCUCUGGGUUGUAAACUUCUUUUAUUUGGGACGAAAAACGGAAAUUCUUUUCCACUUGACGGUACCAGAUGAAUAAGCACCGGCUAACUCCGUGC